rnacentral:rRNA from 1 species
ACUACGGGUGGCAGCAGUGGGGAAUAUUGCACAAUGGGGGAAACCCUGAUGCAGCGACGCCGCGUGAGUGAGGAAGUAUUUCGGUAUGUAAAGCUCUAUCAGCAGGGAAGAAAAUGACGGUACCUGACUAAGAAGCCCCGGCUAACUACGUGCCAGCAGCCGCGGUAAUACGUAGGGGGCAAGCGUUAUCCGUAUUGACUGGGUGUAAAGGGGGCGUAGACGGUUAAUCAAGUCAGAAGUGAAAACCCAGGGCUAAACCUUGGGACUGCUUUUGAAACUGAGUAGCUAGAGUGCAGGAGAGGUAAGCGGAAUUCCUAGUGUAGCGGUGAAAUGCGUAGAUAUUAGGAGGACCACCAGUGGCGAAGGCGGCUUACUGGACUGUAACUGACGUUGAGGCUCGAAAGCGUGGGGAGCAAACAGGAUUAGAUACCCGGGUAGUC